GGCGCGAGGCAAGGGCGUAGCGCCAUAGAUAGCGCCCUACCCCAGAGACCAGAGGUAGCAGUACCCAGAGGUGGUCUAGCCUAGAGGUUUAAAGAACAGAAAACAAACUUGUAAUAUUUGUGAUAAUCAGAUUGUAUUUUGGAAGUUCAAUGUAAACAAAAUGUAUUAUGUGGAACUUGAGAAUGAAUGUUUGUAAUAACAUAGGAUGUGUUAUAUUUUUUAUACUUCGUUAUGCAAUC
rnacentral:lncRNA from 1 species